rnacentral:rRNA from 1 species
AGUGAACGCUGGCGGUAGGCCUAACACAUGCAAGUCGAACGGCAGCACAGUAAGAGCUUGCUAUUACGGGUGGCGAGUGGCGGACGGGUGAGGAAUACAUCGGAAUCUACUUUUUCGUGGGGGAUAACGUAGGGAAACUUACGCUAAUACCGCAUACGACCUACGGGUGAAAGCCGGGGAUCUUCGGACCUUGCGCGAUCGAAUGAGCCGAUGUCGGAUUCGUGCGUUGGCGGGGUAAAGGCACACCAAGGCGACGAUCCGUAGCGGGUCUGAGGGGAAGAUCACACACAGGGGAACAGACACGCGCCCGAGUCCCCCGCGAGGGGCAGCAGGGGAGAAUUUUGGACAAGGGGCGAAACCCAGGUCGAGCCAUAGCGCGAGUGAGAAGAAGGCCUGCGGGUUGUAAAGCCCUUUUGUUGGGAAAGAAAGGCAGCAGGUUAAUACCCCGCUGUUCUGACGGUACCCAAAAAAUAAGCACCGGCAAACUUCUU